GACCCAAGGAUGGGCAAAAGGCUCUUAGGAAGAUGGCAGCGCUUCACAGAUGCAGUGCCCAAGUCUCUCUGGCCACGGAAUCCCCCAGAGUUCUGGUGAUCACCUCCAUAUCUCCAAAUAAUGUGUUUCUACCACCACUUCUUGCUUUAUCAACUAUGCACUUUAUCUACUGACCUUCUACCGGGAUAAAUGAAGACUCAGCUCACCAAAAACUCACCUGCCUCUCUUUCAUCCUUCUUCCCAAGAUAGCUAAAUCAGUUCUUAAUUCUUCUACUGGUCACCUUUGUGUAAAUAAAGCAUACAUAUUAAAUAA